UUGGAACAGUCUUCGUUGCAUAAGUAUACAUGAGUCUUGAUUUAUGCUAUAAUUUUCUGUUUUGAGCAGUGUAGCAUGUGUAUUCUUUGCUUAAGUCAAGUUUUGGUGAACACAACACACACACACAGCAUCUCUAUAGCAUUUAUGAAUUAUCUGAGUGUAUGAUAUUAUGCCUAUAGUUUAGUUCGAAUCUGAAUUC
rnacentral:lncRNA from 1 species